GGUGGGGGGCAGGCAAAGAGAAAGAAGACACCGCGCACCCCCCUCCGCACCCUGCCCUUCCCCCAGCCCUCCCGCAGCAGCGCAGACUUAGCAGGAAGGGAGAUCUUGAGGAGAGAGGGAGAGAGAGGGAGGGAGGGAGGGACCAGAGGCGCAGGACUGGCGGGCGAUGCAGAGUUACGGAGGAGCCACCUCGAGCCGCGCACCUUGAGCCCCUCCCUGCUCGGGGCUGUGUCUGCAGACGCUCCGCACCCCCAGCCGGGUCAGCGCAAGCACGAGCAUUUCCGGGCAUUCCAGAAGCUUCUGUGCGGAUUACGUGUUGGUCUCUAAAGCAUCACUAAGAGGGCCCCACCCCGGAUGCUGACGGAAGCCCGCCCCAGGGAGACCAGGAGGUGGCCCAGCCCCGACCCGGGCGUCCCCCCCAGGCAUCCUCAGGAAGGGGGCUGGUGAUGCGACGCCACCUCGGUGCCCGGCUGGAAGAAGCCGCGACGGCGAGCCCGACGGGCGCCCACGCAGCCACAGGGACACGGGGAUGGGCCUCACGCCGGGGCCGCGGGGUUGGGCCCUGCACCAUCUGGGGGACGCGCUCCGGCACAUGCCGAUGCGCCGCCCUCACCAGCGGGGCCGCCUGGCGCUGUGGCCUCCGAGGGCUCGCAACGAACGGGGCUGGCGCAGCUGCAGCCCGAGCCUCGGCUCGAUCUCAUUGGACUCAUCCUCGUUUCAGUAGCUGCGUCCGUCCGUCUGUCCGAGCAGCCGGUGCCGCGCGGGGCUCAGGGAACCGGGGUGCAGGUCGGGGAGGCCGCACUCCCCGUGCUGCGAGGGGAGGAGCUCCGGGAGGAAAAGUCUGGGGAAGGGAUGGCCGGGCCUGGGGGGCCAUGCAGGUCAGAGGUCAGGGGCGGCUUCUGUGGGGUGAACAGGGGCCCCAAGGAGCCCCAGGGCCUGGCCUGGCCGGGGUCAGCUAGGAGGCCACAGGCGCCACAAGGGCGGGAUGGCGCAGGGUGAGGGUAGAGCCGCUGGGCCGACCCAGCCCCGGGCCACCGUGGCCGCACUGGGGUUCUGGCCGGCCCUGGGGACCCGGCCCAGCAGACGGAGCAGAGGCGGCCACAGAGCAGGGGGCGGUCAGGCCAGUGCACCCCCGGUGGAUGGGGCGCUCCUCCCGGGAGCGGGAAGGGGGGUGCACAGAGGGGAGGCUGGUGGGGGGGCUCUGCCAACACGGGAAGGCCCGGCCGAGGGGGCUGCUGGGGCAGGAGGCCCCGAGGGGGCGUGAGCAAGGGCCCUGCUCAGGGGCUGUGGCAGGUGGCGCGGGCGGGGUGGGGGGGCGCCCCGGUGCGGGGCCUGUGGCGCGGGGGGCUGGGAGCUGCGUGGUCUCCGGGCCGGGCCUCUCACCCCUCGGGCUGAGCGGGGGCGGAGCGGUCGCUGGAGACGGGCGUUUCCUGGAAGCACGGAGGACAGUAAUGGAGCCCGGAGCGCCCCGGGGACCGGUGGCUUCUCACUGAGAGCUUUUCCUGGAGCGCCGUCCCCGGGGCCGGCGGGGGGCGGGGGCCUCCUCUGCGUCCCGCCACAUCUUCCUGCCUGGACAGAGGGGCGCAGCCCCCAGGAAGGCCCCAGCAGGAGACCCCUGGGCACAGACGGUGCCACGGGGCAGGCGACUCCCUGGCUCUCUGGGCCUCAGCUUUCCCAUCUGUCAAGUGGGGCCGUGGCCCGUGGGCGGUAACGGAGCCCCCACGGUGGGGGGGGCUAAUGCUGUGCCGUUCGUUCAGGAAAGGCCCCCACCAGGGUUACUCUAUCCCUCACCUUCCCGUCUCCACCGCGCGGAGGAUCUCCCGAGGGAGUGAAGGAAGGAGUCGACCCGCCGGCCGGGGGGCCAGGGACUGCGGGGGCA